rnacentral:rRNA from 1 species
AACAAACGCUGGCGGCGUGCCUAAUACAUGCAAGUCGAACGAGGUAGCAAUACCUAGUGGCGCACGGGUGAGUAACGCGUGGGUAAUCUGCCUUAGAGUGGGGAAUAACUUACCGAAAGGUGAGCUAAUACCGCAUGAGACCACAGGAUCCGAGGAUCUAGGGGUUAAAGUUUUUCGCUCUAAGAUGAGCCCGCGUCAGAUUAGCUAGUUGGUAGGGUAAUGGCCUACCAAGGCUACGAUCUGUAGCUGGUCUGAGAGGAUGAUCAGCCACACUGGAACUGAGACACGGUCCAGACUCCUACGGGAGGCAGCAGUAGGGAAUAUUGCGCAAUGGGCGAAAGCCUGACGCAGCAACGCCGCGUGAGUGAUGAAGGAUUUCGGUUCGUAAAGCUCUGUUGCAGGGGAAAAAGCAAGUGAUUGUACCCUGCCAGAAAGGGACGGCCAACUUCGUG